GACUCCCUCAUUAGCUCUUGGAACACACGUGUUGCAACACAGUGAGGUUUACCGUAUAGAGUAAAUUUAUCUGAGCUUUCGAGAUAUAAAUAUGGGAAGAAGAAAGUCAUCAGCUCUGGAAAAAACAAAAGGUCCGGGGAGGAAAGCAAGAAAGCAACCAGAGCCGGAGUUUCCAAAAAGCCUGGUAAAGGGUAUUGAUGAGAAAAGGAACAAAGUUUUGAAACCC